ACUACCAAGUUUCUGUUAAUUUCUUACACUGUUAUGGAAUACUAUUACAGUGUAUUUUCAAAAGAUGGAAGCUGGAGAUAUAAAAAGCAAUGGAUAACUCUAAACAAACGUUGACUAUAUGGGACAAUAUAAAUAAUAAUAAAGAUGGGGGAACACACAGAAGUUGGAAAUGAAAUACUAGCAAAAAUUGUAUUUCAAACAGAUGUUCAGAGUUAAAAAUUGGAAUAUCAUUGUGUUGCUUGGGAAGAGCCUAAAGAUACUGAGUAACUAGAUUAUGUAAAACCAGGUAUGGAUGUUUAAAAUAUGAGAGCAACCACUAGAAAUUGAAUGUAUAAGAUUUCUUUUCAUUGUAUUAUAGGUAAUUUCUCAGAUCUACUUUUCAUAUCACACAUUCUGUCUUCAGCAGAAUUCAAACUGCCUUUUAUCCUCUUCAUUGUGUCUGGUUUUGUUUUGCUUUUUCAUUCUUUACUUCAUCCAAUUAUUCAGCAAAGGAAGUCAUAAGAUGUGACGAUUUAUUUUUAUAUUAUUAUGUUUUAAGUAAAGUGUUUUAGCUUUAGGCUGCUAAAAUAUUAUAAGGUGUGCGCUUAAGCAAACAUUUGUUUCCCACAGUUCUUGGUGCUUGAAAUCCAAGACCAAGGUGCCAGCAUGGUUGGGUUCUUGGUGAAGGCUUUCUCCUGGUUUACAGAUGGCUGUCUUCUCAUAUCAUCACAUAGCGGAGAAGAUAUGAAACUACAUGCAAAGCACUCUAAGCAUCCAUGAUUUGGGACUGCAUUCACCUGCUUGGAGACCUUCCAUCAUCCUUCAAGAUGACUUUUACUCUAUUAUUCCCUUCAUUCAUAACUGUCCCCCAACCCAGAGCAUCAAUAGUUAUAUAAACAAAUAAAAUUGAAAUCCAAGGGUAGAGUUCAAAGUUCCCCACUGAGGACAAGUUGCUGCAUGGAUGAGGACUUUGCUAUUUACCUCUUUGUGACCAUGACAGAUUAGUCAUACCUGGGAGUCAAAGAAGACAUUUAGAGACUGAAUUGAUCCCUGAACUGACACUAGGAUAAUGAUGUUUUAGUAAAAGGGAGCUGAAUUUGACAUUCUCAGACCCAAUUCUUGGAUGCUGACUGGUUCAGGGACACUGUGUAUGUUCACGGUACAAUCCUGGGAGGUGUCUCUCAUACAAUAUCAGCCAAACUUCUGUAAACCUGUGUGUUUCAAGUUCCUCAGCAGAGUCCAAAAUCCUACAGGUUGGUUAGGCCUAUAAUCACCAUAAGGAGACAGGCCUCCUGAGAAGAUUCCAGGGGUAGAAGUGCCAGGAAUCAUGGUGAUAAAGGCAGCAGCAGGAAGUGAGAGAAAGUGAUAACAAAUGCCAUCAGCAAAGCUGAGAGCCACAGCAGUGGUCCUCAGCUGGUCAUUUCUGACAGGCUCUGAGAGCAGCAACAGCUGCUAUAGAACAUGAUCGCCAAAGAUGAAUAGAUUGGAAAGUAUAUCAGCAAUAGCAGCCAGAAAUCAUCAACUUUCACUAAUGUGAGAAGAUGGUAGGUGAUGGGAGUUAACAGGGAUGGAGUUUGGAGUUAAAAAUUCCUAUGUAAGAUCUCUAUACUCUGUUGUCAAUAAGGUUGGUGGGACCUAUAGAAAUAAAGAUAUCUGGGAAAAUGA